rnacentral:rRNA from 1 species
AUUGAACGCUGGCGGCAGGCCUAACACAUGCAAGUCGAACGAGUGGCGGACGGGUGAGUAAUGUCUGGGAAACUGCCUGAUGGAGGGGGAUAACUACUGGAAACGGUAGCUAAUACCGCAUACCAUCGGAUGUGCCCAGAUGGGAUUAGCUAGUGGGUGGGGUAAAGGCUCACCUAGGCGACGAUGCCUAGCUGGUCUGGGAGGCUGACCAGCCACACUGGAACUGAGACACGGUCCAGACUCCUACGGGAGGCAGCAGUGGGGAAUCUGGAACAAUGGGCGCAAGCCUGAUGCAGCAAGGCCGCGUGUGUGAAGAAGGCCUUCGGGUUGUAAAGUACUUUUAGCGGGGAGGCGUUACCCGCAGAGGAAGCACCGGCUAACUCCGUGCCAGCAGCCGCGGUAAUUC